CUGUGUCAAGAUUGGGUAAUGUGUGAGUGCUGGACAAAAGGGAUAAGGGAGAGAAACAACAGACUACACACAGCAGGGUUAACAACUUCCAUCCACUCUUUCUCUUUGCUUAGUUGGAUUUGCUUUGGGAAAGAACAUGCUGGCUAUGUGAACGAGGAGGAAGGGGAGAAAAGAACUGAAAGAAAAGGAGUCGUCGUCGCAACACAGCCGAAGACGAUCGACCUGGUCAUGGAAAAAGGAAACAGCCGCCUACGGAACGGAACUGAACGUGCUCUAAAAGGCCAGAAAGCCACGCAUUCAAAAAAGACAGCGCAAGCCCAGAGACGACCUGCCUGGAGACGAAAGUGAAAGCAAAAACGACUCUCAGGACGCGUGGAGACCCUGAAGAAACACACUAACCCUGUUGCACUGUGCGGGAGGACAGUCAUCCAACCGCACCCCAAAGGUAACGCCGGCCGGUGUUUUCUUUUCAAACGGCUUCCUCAUGAUCCCCGGAAUGCCAAUUUUCCACGCACCUCUGUCCCUCGGUGGACUGGCCUCAUCUGAUGCACACAUGUUAAGUUAGGUACCAUGUCCUCUUCGUCAUGGGAUGUGGAUACAAGUUUACCUCGUAGCGCCCUGCGCUCUUCUGAUUUCGGCGAAUGAGGGCUGUGGCUUUUGCUCUCCGUCUUCCCUCCUAAAAAGGCUUGU